rnacentral:rRNA from 1 species
CCUACGGGAGGCAGCAGUGGGGAAUAUUGGACAAUGGGGGCAACCCUGAUCCAGCCAUGCCGCGUGAGUGAUGAAGGCCUUCGGGUUGUAAAGCUCUUUUGGCGGGGACGAUGAUGACGGUACCCGCAGAAUAAGCCCCGGCUAACUUCGUGCCAGCAGCCGCGGUAAGACGAAGGGGGCUAGCGUUGUUCGGAAUUACUGGGCGUAAAGCGCGUGUAGGCGGUUUGCCAAGUCGGGUGUGAAAGCCUUGGGCUUAACCCAAGAAAUGCACUCGGUACUGGCAGACUAGAGGACCGGAGAGGAUAGUGGAAUUCCCAGUGUAGUGGUGAAAUACGUAGAGAUUGGGAAGAACACCAGUGGCGAAGGCGGCUAUCUGGACGGUUUCUGACGCUAAGACGCGAAAGCGUGGGGAGCAAACAGGAUUAGAUACCCUGGUAGUCCACGCCGUAAACGAUGGGUGCUAGACGUUGGCGGGCUUGCUCGUCAGUGUCGCAGCUACGACGUACGCACCCGCCGUGGGAGGUACGGCGCGAGUAGAACUACAAGAAGUAGACGCGNGAGACNGCGACGCGACACGAGGGAGAG